AUAAGAUUAAGUUAGGGUAGACUAUAUGUUUUCAAAACAUAAAGUGGUUUUGUUGCCAUCUUAUG
rnacentral:tRNA from 4 species